GAUGAAGAACGUAGCGAAAUGCGAUAAGUAGUGUGAAUUGCAGAAUUCAGUGAAUCAUCGAAUCUUUGAACGCACAUUGCGCCCUUUGGUAUUCCUUAGGGCAUGCCUGUUCGAGCGUCAUUUAAACCUUCAAGCUAAGCUUGGUGUUGGGUGACUGUCCGCUUCACGGCGGACUCGCCUCAAAAUUAUUGGCGGCCGGUACAUUGGCUUCGAGCGCAGCAGAAACGCGAACUCGGGCCCGUCGUAUUGGCUCCCAGAAGCUAUCUUCACAAUUUUGACCUCGGAUCAGGUAGGGAUACCCGCUGAACUUAAGCAUAUCUAAGCGGAGGA
rnacentral:misc_RNA from 1 species